rnacentral:rRNA from 1 species
UACGAAGGGGGCUAGCGUUGUUCGGAAUUACUGGGCGUAAAGCGCGCGCAGGCGGUCUUCCAAGUCAGUGGUGAAAGCCCGGAGCUCAACUCCGGAACUGCCAUUGAAACUGUAAGACUUGAGGAUGAGAGAGGUGAGUGGAAUUCCCAGUGUAGAGGUGAAAUUCGUAGAUAUUCGGAAGAACACCAGUGGCGAAGGCGGCUCACUGGCCCGGUACUGACGCUCAUGUGCGAAAGCGUGGGGAGCAAACAGG